rnacentral:rRNA from 1 species
GUAAUAGCUCACUGGUCGAGUCGGCCUGCGCGGAAGAUGUAACGGGGCUAAACCAUGCACCGAAGCUGCGGCAGCGACGCUGAUGCGUUGUUGGGUAGGGGAGCGUUCUGUAAGCCUGUGAAGGUGUGUCGUGAGGCAUGCUGGAGGUAUCAGAAGUGCGAAUGCUGACAUAAGUAACGAUAAAGCGGGUGAAAAGCCCGCUCGCCGGAAGACCAAGGGUUCCUGUCCAACGUUAAUCGGGGCAGGGUGAGUCGACCCCUAAGGCGAGGCCGAAAGGCGUAGUCGAUGGGAAACGGGUUAAUAUUCCCGUACUUGGUGUUACUGCGAAGGGGGGACGGAGAAGGCUAUGUUGGCCGGGCGACGGUUGUCCCGGUUUAAGCGUGUAGGUGUGUGUUCCAGGUAAAUCCGGUUCACUUUAACACUGAGGCGUGACGACGAGGCACUACGGUGCUGAAGCAACAAAUGCCCUGCUUCCAGGAAAAGCCUCUAAGCAUCAGGUAACACGAAAUCGUACCCCAAACCGACACAGGUGGUCAGGUAGAGAAUACCAAGGCGCUUGAGAGAACUCGGGUGAAGGAACUA